GAGGGAGCUGCAGGAAUCUUAAGGAAUCUGACCAGUUCCUUCGGCCCAAGAGUAUUGUUGCCCUGGGCGGGGCUGCUGGGCUUAAAAAGCUGGAACCCACCUGGGCUGGACGCAGCUCCAGGAGCCUCCUCAGACCAGCUCUCUGCACUCAGCUCUCAGCCUAGUCCUGCCGCUGUGUCAUGGAGGGAGUGGUCCGGGGCCUUCUCCUCCUGCUGGCAGGCCUGCCCGUCCUGGAAGCCAAUGACCUGGUUGAUAAAGGCAGUCCCUUCUACUAUGACUGGGAAGGCCUGCAGCUGGGCGGGGUGAUCUGUGCGGCGCUCCUGUGCAUCGCUGGAAUCUUGUUCGCCUUGAGUGGCAAAUGCAAAUGCAAGCAAGAUCAUAAGCACAGAUCAUCAACCCUGAAGGGCCCCAAAUCAGGGAAAGCUCUGACCCUUCGUAUUGUGUAAAGUGGCACCAGGAAUCUUGGUGGGGGAAAAGGACAGAGGCUUGAGGAUGCUAAUCUGACGUGUUCCUUUCUCAGCUCCUUACCCGAGAAAGCUGUUCCACUCAUCACUCCAGGCUCUGCCAGUACCUGCUGAGCACAGGACCGGCUUCACGGCACUUCCUGCACCAGCUCCCAUACUGUCCCCUCCCCCUUGGGGGACUUUACCCUUCGUGAUGGUCUUUCUCUCUGAGGGUGGGCCCUUAGGCUCCCUUAUGCUCAGGAGGCUGUCCAGAGCUUAUUUCUAAAUUAAACUUUUCUCCUCCC